GAUGAACGCUGGCGGCGUGCCUAAUACAUGCAAGUCGAGCGAACAGACGAGGAGCUUGCUCCUCUGACGUUAGCGGCGGACGGGGGAGUAACACGUGGAUAACCUACCUAUAAGACUGGGAUAACUUCGGGAAACCGGAGCUAAUACCGGAUAAUAUAUUUAACCGCAUGGUUCAAUAGUGAAAAACGGUUUUUCUUUCACUUAUAGAUGGAUCCGCGCCGCAUUAGCUAGUUGGUAAGGUAACGGCUUACCAAGGCGACGAUGCGUAGCCGACCUGAGAGGGUGAUCGGCCACACUGGAACUGAGACACGGUCCAGACUCCUACGGGAGGCAGCAGUAGGGAAUCUUCCGCAAUGGGCGAAAGCCUGACGGAGCAACGCCGCGUGAGUGAUGAAGGUCUUCGGAUCGUAAAACUCUGUUAUUAGGGAAGAACAAAUGUGUAAGUAACUAUGCACGUCUUGACGGUACCUAAUCAGAAAGCCACGGCUAACUACGUG
rnacentral:rRNA from 1 species